GACGAACCGUGCAAACGUUAUUCGGAAUCACUGGGCUUAAAGCGUGCGUAGGCGGCCAAGAAAGUUGGGUGUGAAAUCCCUCGGCUCAACCGAGGAAUUGCGCUCAAAACUACUUGGCUUGAGAGAGUUAGAGGUGAGCGGAACUAAUGGUGGAGCGGUGAAAUGCGUUGAUAUCAUUAGGAACACCGGUGGCGAAAGCGGCUCACUGGGGCUCUACUGACGCUGAGGCACGAAAGCUAGGGUAGCGAACGGG
rnacentral:rRNA from 1 species